AUUGAACGCUGGCGGCAGGCCUAACACAUGCAAGUCGAACGGUAGCACAGAGAGCUUGCUCUCGGGUGACGAGUGGCGGACGGGUGAGUAAUGCCUGGGAAACUGCCUGAUGGAGGGGGAUAACUACUGGAAACGGUAGCUAAUACCGCAUAACGUCGCAAGACCAAAGAGGGGGACCUUCGGGCCUCUUGCCAUCAGAUGUGCCCAGAUGGGAUUAGCUAGUAGGUGGGGUAACGGCUCACCUAGGCGACGAUCCCUAGCUGGUCUGAGAGGAUGACCAGCCACACGGGAACUGAGACACGGUCCAGACUCCUACGGGAGGCAGCAGUGGGGAAUAUUGCACAAUGGGCGCAAGCCUGAUGCAGCCAUGCCGCGUGUAUGAAGAAGGCCUCCGGGUUGUAAAGUACUUUCAGCGGGGAGGAAGGUGAUAAGGUUAAUAACCUUGUCGAUUGACGUUACCCGCAGAAGAAGCACCGGCUAACUCCGUGCCAGCCGCCGCAGUAA
rnacentral:rRNA from 1 species